AUGCGGCCCGGGUUUUCGAAUCUUCUAAACAGAACAUACUUCCCUUGUUACAGUCAAUGUACACUCGGAUCCGAUUGCUCCCGCCUCGGUAUUAGGGUUGAAGAUCAGCAAGCGACACCGGAUGGUGGAAAAGCCAACAUAUUCUUUCCAGGGAAGCUUCAUUGGGUAUUUUGGUGAUGCCCAUGGCUAUGGCUCUAUGGAAGUAGUAGCAGUAAUUAGACCCAGGGUCACCAGUCUUUAUUAUCAUCACUGAGAGUCGAUUAUACCUUAUAUUUGAUGUUUUAUGUUGA